rnacentral:lncRNA from 1 species
CAGCCAUGUCGUUCUGGCCUCUGCGCAUCUCUGAUUUCUGAGGUCCUGAGAGACAGGGAGGAGAAGUGGGAGAGAAGAGCAUCUUUGGUUCUUCAGAGUGACCCUCAUGACUUCAUAGCAUGAAAUUCUGCCCAGCCUUCUCCAAGUACUGUUCUGGGAGCAAGAUUCCAAGUUGUAAGCAUGGGAACAGGAGGAAGAUUUCAAUUCACAAGGGGAGCUCAAGAAUCUGCUGGGUUUUCAGGAAUAAACCAUAAGCUAGAAACCAAGAGAAGUGAGUUCUAAUCCAUAUUCUGUUGCUAAUGGAUUCACUGUGAAAGCAUGCUCUGUACCAAGGCAAAGCCUACAUUGACCAGAGCCCUUUUGUUCUAGGCUCUUUCUAUCUCCGCUGACAGUCUGGUAUCUGAGGUAACAUUAAAUGUCAUGCAGGGUAUUUUUGUUGUUGUUGUUCAGUCCCAUUUAGGGUUUUCUUGGUAGAGAGACUUAAGUGGAUUGCCAUUUCUUUCUCCAGCUCAUUUUACAGAUGAGGAAACUGAGGCAAACAGAGAUUAAGUGAUUUGCCCAGGGUCACACAGCCAGUAAGUGUCUGAGUCCAGAUUUGAACUCUCGAAGAUGAGUCUUCCUUACUCCAGGCCCAC